AGAGUUUGAUCCUGGCUCAGGACGAACGCUGGCGGCGCGCCUAACACAUGCAAGUCGAACGAGAGAGAGGGAGCUUGCUUCCUUGAUCGAGUGGCGAACGGGUGAGUAACGCGUGAGGAACCUGCCUCAAAGAGGGGGACAACAGUUGGAAACGACUGCUAAUACCGCAUAAGCCCACGACCCGGCAUCGGGAAGAGGGAAAAGGAGCAAUCCGCUUUGAGAUGGCCUCGCGUCCGAUUAGCUAGUUGGUGAGGUAACGGCCCACCAAGGCAACGAUCGGUAGCCGGACUGAGAGGUUGAACGGCCACAUUGGGACUGAGACACGGCCCAGACUCCUACGGGAGGCAGCAGUGGGGAAUAUUGCACAAUGGGGGAAACCCUGAUGCAGCGACGCCGCGUGGAGGAAGAAGGUCUUCGGAUUGUAAACUCCUGUUGUUGGGGAAGAUAAUGACGGUACUCAACAAGGAAGUGACGGCUAACUACGUGCCAGCAGCCGCGGUAAAACGUAGGUCACAAGCGUUGUCCGGAAUUACUGGGUGUAAAGGGAGCGCAGGCGGGCGAUCAAGUUGGAAGUGAAAUCCAUGGGCUCAACCCAUGAACUGCUUUCAAAACUGGUCGUCUUGAGUAGUGCAGAGGUAGGCGGAAUUCCCGGUGUAGCGGUGGAAUGCGUAGAUAUCGGGAGGAACACCAGUGGCGAAGGCGGCCUACUGGGCACCAACUGACGCUGAGGCUCGAAAGUGUGGGUAGCAAAACAGGAUUAGAUACCCUGGUAGUCCACACCGUAAACGAUGAUUACUAGGUGUUGGGAGAUUGACCCUCUCAGUGCCGCAGUUAACACAAUAAGUAAUCCGCCUGGGGAGUACGACCGCAAGGUUGAAACUCAAAGGAAUUGACGGGGGCCCGCACAAGCAGUGGAGUAUGUGGUUUAAUUCGACGCAACGCGAAGAACCUUACCAAGUCUUGACAUCCCUUGACGAUGCUGGAAACAGUAUUUCUCUUCGGAGCAAGGAGACAGGUGGUGCAUGGUUGUCGUCAGCUCGUGUCGUGAGAUGUUGGGUUAAGUCCCGCAACGAGCGCAACCCUUAUGGUCAGUUACUACGCAAGAGGACUCUGGCCAGACUGCCGUUGACAAAACGGAGGAAGGUGGGGAUGACGUCAAAUCAUCAUGCCCUUUAUGACUUGGGCUACACACGUACUACAAUGGCGUUAAACAAAGAGAAGCAAGACCGCGAGGUGGAGCAAAACUCAGAAACAACGUCCCAGUUCGGACUGCAGGCUGCAACUCGCCUGCACGAAGUCGGAAUUGCUAGUAAUCGCAGAUCAGCAUGCUGCGGUGAAUACGUUCCCGGGCCUUGCACACACCGCCCGUCA
rnacentral:rRNA from 1 species